GACAGAGGGUGCAAACGUUGUUCGGAUUUACUGGGCGUAAAGCGCGUGUAGGCGGCUUGGCAAGUCGGAUGUGAAAUCCCCAGGCUUAACCUGGGAAUUGCAUCCGAAACUGCGAACCUUGAAUGCUUGAGAGGAUGACGGAAUUCCUGGUGUAGAAGUGAAAUUCGUAGAUAUCAGGAGGAACACCGGAGGCGAAGGCGGUUGUCUGGCGAUGCAUUGACGCUGAGGCGCGAAAGCGUGGGUAGCAAACAGG
rnacentral:rRNA from 1 species